AGGCGACAUUACGACGAGUCCCAGAGCAGAAUCCGAUUUUCUGCGAGGGAGAAGGACGACAUCCAGAAAAUCCUGUCCACGAGUCUGUACAAGAUCAGGAAAACGAACACGCUGUACAGCAGGCACACGCUGUCUGCAGAUCUCGGGGCCAAACAAGCCAAGGAAAUCCUGACCCGCCGCAACCAGAGCCUCCGUGCCAGUGACGGCAGGAAGCAGAGCGCGUCUGUGAUCUACAGAGGAACCGAGACCAGGCCGAAAUUACUGCGCUCAUUAACUGUGGGGGUUGGUGACACCCCAAAAGGUUACAAGAGGACGAGCCCCAAGAGUGAGGACGACACAGAGGAGACGGUGACUGCAGCGUCCUGAGGCCUCCCGCUGCCCCUCCGCCCUGGACCCCCGGAUGCUGCAGAAGACAAUCAGACAUCGAUGAUGUCACUGCGCCAAAUCCACAGAACCGGCAAAUUCUGUAGAUAGAGGACCCAUAACACAGUGACCUGGUCCUGCUCUCGUAGCUGAGGGUCUGUUACAAUGUGUCCAGUCACAUAGUCAUCUGUCCAGAGGAUUCGUUAUAAUGUAUCAGUCUGGAGUCCAGGAUGUUUUGUCUGGUGGAUACACUGUAACAAACCCCCCGCUCUUCGGUCCAGGUGGUCGCCCCUCCAUCUUCCCUCCCCUCUGGAUAAUAGGUGAAGGUCCUGAAGCCCCCCCAUUACCUCCUUAUAUUGGGGUCCCCCAUAUACGCCCCCUAAUAUUACACCUGUGAUGGGCGUCUCCUCUACAAUAAUGAAACAAUGUAGCAUUUUGUAUAUUACCC